AUCGUUUCUCGGCCUUUUGGCUAAGUAUAUCAAGUGUAGUAUCUGUUCUAUUCAAAUUUAAUAUCUGAUACGUCACCCUAAAAUCUGGGGUACCAUAUAUUAAAGAUUUUUUGGAACCACGGUAGAUGGAUAAAAGAGCUUGCUCUGUCCACUCCACGCAUCGACCUGGUUUGCAGUACCUCCAGACCGGUGCAUUCCUG